rnacentral:rRNA from 1 species
CAGUCGCCACGGUAAUACGUAGGUGGCAAGCGUUGUCCGGAAUUAUUGGGCGUAAAGGGCUCGCAGGCGGUUUCUUAAGUCUGAUGUGAAAGCCCCCGGCUCAACCGGGGAGGGUCAUUGGAAACUGGGAAACUUGAGUGCAGAAGAGGAGAGCGGAAUUCCACGUGUAGCGGUGAAAUGCGUAGAGAUGUGGAGGAACACCAGUGGCGAAGGCGACUCUCUGGUCUGUAACUGACGCUGAGGAGCGAAAGCGUGGGGAGCGAACAGGAUUAGAUACCCCGGUAGUCCCUGUCUCUUAUAC